rnacentral:misc_RNA from 1 species
ACACAACACACAUUGCAUGAAAAGGCCGGAGGGGUUAUUCUCAAAGGCGGUGCAGCUGCACUUGCCCUUGCACACCUAUCUACAACAGCACCCCGUCAACGCUCCCAACGAGAGGCCUCGCGGCCCCCCUCCCCUCCCUCCCCAACAAGGAAACAGAAGAAGCACACCUGUGCGAGGCUCGCGCUUGCCGCUAGACUUGGAAACGGACCGCGAGCAAGGAUCGGACAACGCAGGACACAAGUGAUUGGCGUGCGCGUGAAGGAGGACGGCGAUGCCGGCACUUAGACCAGCCAGGAUUGUGCGUGCGCGCGUGGGCCGUAUGGGUAUGAGUGAGUGGGACGGGAGCACUCUAUCUUCACCUCCCCCCUUUUAUCGAUGACUCUGUACAUGCCAUCAAUGCCCGGCGAAGACGGUGCAGCGCUGUCGUUCCCCCAAACACAAGCGUCCGCGAAGGAAAGGGGUUUGCAGAAACGACCCCCCGUCCCCCUCGUUUGUCUCUCUGUCUGUCGUGGGCGUUGCUCGAUGUCUUCUUCCGUCUCUCUCUCCCUCCCCUUCCAUCUGAUGCGCCAACGACGACGCGACGGCAUCAUGAGUGCAUCGCGUUUUCUGUUCUCGGCCGCGGGGCGCUACGGUUGAACACGUGCCAAAGGGGUGAAAAGCAGAGAGGAUGCCCGCUCCCUUUGGCACGACGACACGACAGGUGCCCUUGGACGUUGUCCAUGCUGCUCGUGGCACCCCCACGUGCGGCCAUGAGCUCUUCGUCCUUCGGUGCACCACUCUGUACGGUACGUUAUCACUGCUUCUUCACCGUUUUAGCACAGUUCUCACAUUGUUGUUUACGGUGCUGUCUUGCAUCUCCCUCUGCAUCGCGUUGCCGCCAACGUUUCGCGAUGCAGCUUCCCAGUUCCCAGUUUUGUGAGGAAGCUGGCACGCCGACAGCUCACUGCGCCCUUGGCGGGUUUGAGCGGGUGGCACUGUAUACACGGACUGCGCAACAAGAGAGCCUUCCCCCCCCCCUACCACCACCAAUAUGUGUAAGCACACCUGCGACGGCGCAAGAAUGUGUCAUGGCCCGUCUCGUGAGUAGCGUGAUAUCUGCGUGUGCUCUCUCCCGCACAAGAAGACGCUGAACAUGUGCCUGACCAGUGUCCCGUCGCCGCGAAUCGGAUAAGGUCUGGUCCUGGCCGCAGGCCUGCCUAAAAAGGGUCGAUGCGGCCCGCGAGUGUCGCGAAGGCGUGGUCCAACUUGUGCGCCCAAACGCGGCGGAACGCUGAAAAGGGCAGGCAGCCAGCCAGGAGCAUCAGCGAUGCGCUUCACAUUCUUUCCAUUCCUUGAUCUUCUUCCUCUCUGCCCAG